rnacentral:lncRNA from 1 species
GUUUCUGGAGAACAAGGUGAUAAAUAAAAUGAUUUCCUUUCUCCAUACUCUAUGGGUAAUAAAUUUAAGAGACAAGAGAAAACAAGAAUCAAUCCCAGAAGAACAGCAAACUUCUUCUUGUUAAGCUUGUAAAUGAAUUUCUGUGUGUUUUGGUCAUGUUAAUCAAACAUAUUUGAAAAUAUCAAGGGCAAGAACAAACCUCAAGCCUCAUCUCCUGUGGUUUGUCACACUCGGAAAUGGAACAAGGUGGGAGAAGAUGACACUGCUGCAGAUAUGGAAGUGUCUGAGCUGGAGAAAGCAGAGACCAUCUGAAUUCCAUACUUGCCCAUUGGGACCCUCUUUUCCCAGCACCACCCUCCACACAGAGAGGGGAGACCCUCAGAGCCAGUGAAGGUGGGAGUGAGGCAGUGGCUAUCAUCUGUGCAUCCACUCAUGCCGUCACUGAGUAGCUGGUGAGGUCCCUGGCUGAGCAGAGCCCCCUCGGGGAGCAGGACAUGUCACCAGUGCUGAGGUGGCUGCAGAACCGCGUCCUACCACACCCAACAGCCGUGAGGAAGAUGCUCAGGGAUGAGACUGAGGAACGACCUUUUCAAGCUUUACACCUGGCUCUGCCAGGCCAGCAGCACCUCAUCCGGGCUCUCCAGGCAGCUUGGUGGGCUCAGUUCCAUCAUGCUCCAGCUCAUGGAGGAGCAGGGCCUGUCCAGCACCUUCCACAAUCUUGUGAAAUCUCUGUGCCUAUCAGCAAUGGUGGAAGAGGAUGUGCACAAGACAGCUGCUUCUGUAUUCCUGACUUCCCUUCACAUCAGGGACGUGUGGCUUGGAGCACAGGACCCGGAUAUGUCACUUACCUGAGUCACGUUGGUGCAGGUUGCAAAUUACAGAGUGACUUGGAGACUCAGAAACAAAGGAAAGAAACUGUUAUGUUUCUUAGCAAAAAAAUUGUCUACAUCAGGGCAUUAAUUCAGGGGACUAACAUUCAUCUUUAAUGUUCUUCUGUGCUCUGCCCUCAUCACCGUGAGCUGUGAAAGCCUCCUGAGCUGUUCUCAUACAGACCUACCUUGUCUGGUCAGAAAAAUCAGUAUUUUAUUCCUGUGUGCAAACUCAGGGGGAAGAUUUUAUUCAACAUCUCUCAGUGGGAUAUUAAAGCUCCAAUUUCCCUUUUCUUGAACAGUUUGAGAGACAAUAUUACUUAAGUAAUUUUUAUUACACGCAUUUUUAUCUUUUUGAAAACCAGAAAGACUGUUUGUGUCUGUGUGUGCCCUUAAUAUUCAUCCUCUCUCUAACACAGGAUGGGAAAAAAUGGUUGCAGAGCUUCAUGCAAUGGGGUAUAAGUGCAAAGAAUGAGGAGACAGAGGUUUAGUCAUGAUGAUUUCUUGGAGAAUCUGGUUGAUUUAAUGAUACCAAAACCAGUAUGAAUAGAAGACUGGAUUUGGGAAUCAGGACGGUCUUCUUGGGUUUAAAAGGCUUGAAUGGCACUUCAAGACACUUAUAUCAGACCUGGCUUAUUUUUAUUACCCUUUUUUUUAAAUUAAGAAAAGAAAAGAAAAAAAAAAAGCCCUGAUCCAUCACUGCUUUUGCUGCAGUGUGCAAUAAAACCCCAUCUUACCUCUGCUAGGAACA